rnacentral:rRNA from 1 species
UGGAUUAGGCAUGCAAGUCGAGCGAGAAGCUUUAGUUUGACGCUUCGGUUGAUUUCUAAAGUGGACAGCGGCGCAAGGGAGAGUAACGCGUAGUUAUCUACCCCGGGGUCCGGAAUAGCUGAGGGAAACUUCAGGUAAUGCCGGAUGAUAUCUUCGGAUCAAAGGUGUGAUUCCGCCCUGGGAGGGGACUGCGUACUACUAGCUUGUUGGUAGGGUAAUGGCCUACCAAGGCUUUGAUGGUUAGCGGGCGUGAGAGCGUGGCCCGUCUCACUGGGACUGAAACACUGCCCAGACACCUACGGGUGGCUGCAGUCGAGAAUCUUCGGCAAUGGGCGAAAGCCUGACCGAGCGAUGCCGCGUGCGGGAUGAAGGCCUUCGGGUUGUAAACCGCUGUCAGUUGGGAGGAAGGGUCUGUGAAGAGCAGAUCUUGACCUAUCUUCAGAGGAAGUCCGGGCUAAGUUCGUGCCAGCAGCCGCGGUAACACGAACCGGACAAACGUUAUUCGGAAUUAUUGGGCUUAAAGGGUGCGUAGGCGGCGAUGUAGGUGGGGUGUGAAAUCCCUCGGCUCAACCGAGGAACUGCGCUCCAAACCACAUGGCUAGAGGGAGACAGAGGUAAGCGGAACUGAUGGUGGAGCGGUGAAAUGCGUUGAUAUCAUCAGGAACACCAGUGGCGAAAGCGGCUUACUGGGUCUCUUCUGACGCUGAGGCACGAAAGCUAGGGUAGCGAACGGGAUUAGAUACCCCGG